rnacentral:rRNA from 1 species
GAUGAACGCUGGCGGCGUGCCUAAUACAUGCAAGUCGAGCGAACAGACGAGGAGCUUGCUCCUCUGACGUUAGCGGCGGACGGGUGAGUAACACGUGGAUAACCUACCUAUAAGACUGGGAUAACUUCGGGAAACCGGAGCUAAUACCGGAUAAUAUAUUGAACCGCAUGGUUCAAUAGUGAAAGACGGUUUUGCUGUUACUUAUAGAUGGAUCCGCGCCGCAUUAGCUAGUUGGUAAGGUAACGGCUUACCAAGGCAACGAUGCGUAGCCGACCUGAGAGGGUGAUCGGCCACACUGGAACUGAGAGACGGUCCAGACUCCUACGGGAGGCAGCAGUUGGGAAUCUUGCGCAAUGGGCGAAAGCCUGACGGAGCAACGCCGCGUGAGUGAUUAAGGUCUUCGGAUCGUAAAACUCUGUUAUUAGGGAAGAACAAAUGUGUAAGUAACUAUGCACGUCUUGACGGUACCUAAUCAGAAAGCCACGGCUAACUACGUG